GAUGAACGCUGGCGGCGUGCCUAAUACAUGCAAGUCGAGCGAACAGACGAGGAGCUUGCUCCUCCGACGUUAGCGGCGGACGGGUGAGUAACACGUGGAUAACCUACCUAUAAGACUGGGAUAACUUCGGGAAACCGGAGCUAAUACCGGAUAAUAUAUUGAACCGCAUGGUUCAAUAGUGAAAGACGGUUUUGCUGUCACUUAUAGAUGGAUCCGCGCCGCAUUAGCUAGUUGGUAAGGUAACGGCUUACCAAGGCGACGAUGCGUAGCCGACCUGAGAGGGUGAUCGGCCACAAUGGAACUGAGACACGGUCCAGACUCCUACGGGAGGCAGCAGUAGGGAAUCGUCCGCAAUGGGCGAAAGCCUGACGGAGCAACGCCGCGUGAGUGAUGAAGGUCUUCGGAUCGUAAAACUCUGUUAUUAGGGAAGAACAAAUGUGUAAGUAACUAUGCACGUCUUGACGGUACCUAAUCAGAAAGCCACGGCUAACUACGUG
rnacentral:rRNA from 1 species